rnacentral:rRNA from 1 species
UACGGGGGGGGCAAGCGUUGUUCGGAAUUACUGGGCGUAAAGGGCUCGUAGGCGGCCAACUAAGUCAGACGUGAAAUCCCUCGGCUUAACCGGGGAACUGCGUCUGAUACUGGAUGGCUUGAGUUUGGGAGAGGGAUGCGGAAUUCCAGGUGUAGCGGUGAAAUGCGUAGAUAUCUGGAGGAACACCGGUGGCGAAGGCAGCCCCCUGGGAUAACACUGACGCUCAUGCACGAAAGCGUGGGGAGCAAACAGG